GAGUAACGCGUGGGUAACCUGCCCUUGAAACCGGAAUAACUUCGCGAAAGCGUUGCUAAUACCGGAUAUUGUCCUUUUUGCCGUGGCAUAAAGGAUGAAAGGUGACCUCUUCAUGAAAGUUGCCGUUGAAGGAGGGGCUCGCGUACCAUUAGCUUGUUGGUAGGGUAACGGCUUACCAAGGCUACGAUGGUUAGCUGGUUUGAGAGGAUGAUCAGCCACACUGGAACUGAAACACGGUCCAG
rnacentral:rRNA from 1 species